rnacentral:rRNA from 1 species
AACGAACGCUGGCGGCAGGCCUAACACAUGCAAGUCGAGCGAGGACUUCGGUUCUAGCGGCGGACGGGUGAGUAACGCGUGGGAAUGUGCCCUUCUCUACGGAAUAGCCCUGGGAAACUGGGAGUAAUACCGUAUACGCCCUAUUGGGGAAAGAUUUAUCGGAGAAGGAUCAGCCAGCGUUGGAUUAGGUAGUUGGUAGGGUAAUGGCCUACCAAGCCGACGAUCAAUAGCUGGUUUGAGAGGAUGAUCAGCCACACUGGGACUGAGACACGGCCCAGACUCCUACGGGAGGCAGGAGUGGGGAAUCGUGGAAAAUCGGGGCAGUCAUGAACGUGCCCUGCUGGGUAAGUGAUGUAGGCAUGAGAGUAGUAAAGCUCUUGCAGCUGGGAAGAUAAUGACGGUACCAGCAGAAGAAGCCCCGGCUAACUCCGUG